UGGGGAAUAUUGCACAAUGGGCGCAAGCCUGAUGCAGCCAUGCCGCGUGUGUGAAGAAGGCCUUCGGGUUGUAAAGCACUUUCAGCGAGGAGGAAGGGUUCAGUGUUAAUAGCACUGUUCAUUGACGUUACUCGCAGAAGAAGCACCGGCUAACUCCGUGCCAGCAGCCGCGGUAAUACGGAGGGUGCAAGCGUUAAUCGGAAUUACUGGGCGUAAAGCGCACGCAGGCGGUUUGUUAAGUCAGAUGUGAAAUCCCCGCGCUUAACGU
rnacentral:rRNA from 1 species